rnacentral:rRNA from 1 species
UGUUCGCCAUUUAAAGUGGUACGCGAGCUGGGUUUAGAACGUCGUGAGACAGUUCGGUCCCUAUCUGCCGUGGGCGCUGGAGAACUGAGGGGGGCUGCUCCUAGUACGAGAGGACCGGAGUGGACGCAUCACUGGUGUUCGGGUUGUCAUGCCAAUGGCACUGCCCGGUAGCUAAAUGCGGAAGAGAUAAGUGCUGAAAGCAUCUAAGCACGAAACUUGCCCCGAGAUGAGUUCUCCCUGAGACUUUAGGUCUCCUGAAGGAACGUUGAAGACGACGACGUUGAUAGGCCGGGUGUGUAAGCGCAGCGAUGCGUUGAGCUAACCGGUACUAAUGAACCGUGAGGCUUAACCUUACAACGCCGAAG